UACGAAGGGGGCUAGCGUUGCUCGGAAUUACUGGGCGUAAAGCGUGCGCAGGCGGUUUUGUAAGCCAGAUGUGAAAUCCCCGGGCUUAACCUGGGAAUGGCAUUUGGGACUGCAAGGCUUGAGUGCGGCAGAGGAGACUGGAAUUCCUGGUGUAGCAGUGAAAUGCGUAGAUAUCAGGAGGAAUACCGAUGGCGAAGGCAGGUCUCUGGGCUGACACUGACGCUCAUGCACGAAAGCGUGGGGAGCAAACAGG
rnacentral:rRNA from 1 species